UACGUAGGCAGCAAGCGUUGUUCGGAAUUACUGGGCGUAAAGAGUGUGUAGGCGGUGCUCUAAGUUCGUUGUGAAAUCUCCCGGCUUAACUGGGAGGGUGCGGCGGAAACUGGAGUGCUUGAGCGCGGGAGAGGAAAGCGGAAUUCCUGGUGUAGCAGUGAAAUGCGUAGAUAUCAGGAGGAAUACCGAUGGCGAAGGCAGGUCUCUGGGCUAUAACUGACGCUCAUGCACGAAAGCGUGGGGAGCAAACAGG
rnacentral:rRNA from 1 species